UGACCGGUGGGCAAAGGUAGCAUAAUCAUUUGUCUUUUAAUUAAAGGCUUGUAUGAAUGGUUGGAUGAGAUAUAAUCUAUUUUUAUUUAAUUAAAAAUGAAUUUUAAUUUUUAGUAAAAAUGCUAAAAUAAAAAAUAUAGACGAGAAGACCCUAUAAAUCUUUAUUAUUUUUUUAUUAAUUUAUUAAUAGAAGAAAAAAUUUAUUAUUAGAAAAAUAAUUUUAUUGGGGUGAUAAUGAAAUUUAAUAAACUUUUAUUUUAUUUUAUAAAUAUAAUUAAUUUAAUGAUCCAUUUUUAAUGAUUAUAAAAUUAAGUUACUUUAGGGAUAACAGCGUAAUUAUUUUAAAGAGUUCAUAUCGAUAAAAUAGUUUGCGACCUCGAUGUUGAAUUAAGAGUAAGUUAGGUGUAGAAGUA
rnacentral:rRNA from 1 species